rnacentral:lncRNA from 1 species
AUCGUUAACCCACUGAGCAAGGGCAGGGACCGAACCCGCAACCUCAUGGUUCCUAGUCGGAUUCGUUAACCACUGUGCCACGAUGGGAACUCCAAGGUGCCAUAUUUUGGAUUCAUGUAUCCUGAACCCCAUCAGGAAAUCAGAGGUACUCAGAAGCAGGGUAGGGGUGGGGGUUUGGAAGUAGGGAACAGGUUUAGGCAUUCAAUAAGGUAGUCAGUGUAGGUCUCACUGAGAAGGUGAGAUCUGAGCAAAGACUUGAAGCAGGUGAGGGAAGGUGAGGCAGAGACCUUGGGGUGGGACUGUGCUCAGUAUACUUGGGGCAACAGGGGAGAAUGGAUGAGGGCAAUCAACCUAAGAGCCUUAUUGGAUAUCAUGAGCACUUAGGCUGGCUCUGUACAUAAAAUGGGGAGCUUUUAGGAUUUUGAGCAAGGGAAGGCACACCGUGUGAUUUAUGUGUCCCCGGAACCCCCUGGUGGCUGUGCAGGGAAUAUGUGGUGGGACAAGAGGGGAGAAGAAGCAAGGGCCCUGGUUAGGAGGCUGCUGCUCCUGGCCUGGACUAGGGCGAGAGCAGCAGAGGGGUUAAAGGUGGUUGGAUUCUGCAAGUGUUCUGAAGAUAGACCCCGUGUGAUUUCCUGACAUUUACUGUGGGAUCAAGGCUGGCCCUGGGGUUUUUGCCUUGAGUAAUCUGGCUGUCAACUGAGUUGGGAGAGGCUGCGGGUGGAGCAGGGAUCUUUUUUGGGGUCUGUGGGAGUUGAGUUUUUGAACAUAAGAGGUUAGAGAUGAGACUUUUUUUUAAAAAAAUUUCCCUUGGUAAUAGCUAAAAGUUGAAAAUGAAUAGCCCUCCUUUGGGAAAUAAUUAUCUAAACUAAGGUAUAACAGAAUGAAGUAGAUCCACAGUUUUAGCAUAGAAAGAUUUCCAAGAUAAGGCGUUGAAGAAAAAACAGUGUACAAUGUACAAUAUGACCUCAUUUAUCUACAUGUCUCAGUGACAACAGAAACAGAAUCGUAGGUACUCUGCAUACUCAUACAGAUGUAGCCAAGUAUCAGCAGUGAUAUUCUUUCUGCUUAGAUACAUUUCUAAAGAAAAUGGACGUUCAAGUAUUGCUUAUAUCAUUUAAAAGUGAUGUAAAGAAAGCAACAGGGAAUGAUGAGAAAUCUUGUCUUGCCAUGGCCCCUGCUUUCCUUUUCUAUAAGGUGACCUAUAACAUCUGCCUGCUUCUAGGAAUCCACGUUCUAUAAUUUCACCUGAAUAUGGGUUUUUCUUAUCUAAAGUCAAAGCGUGUGUGUGUGUUUAAUACAGAAACUUCAGUUCUGGCCCAGUCAUACCUGAUUGUGACCAGAGAAGGACAGAAUUUGACUUUUUCCUCUAGCAAUAAAGUUGAAAGAUCACUUUGAAGUUUGACUGAAAUUUGGGAUGCACAUUGGUUUUCAAUUCAGUUUCAAAGAGAAGUUAAAGCAAAUGGCUUUCUGGCAGGUCCUUUCAUGACUACAUGGUCUCUUAGAAGAAGAUGAAACAUUCCUGGAAGUUCCUGCCAUGGCACAGUGGGUUAAGAACCCACCUACAGUGGCUCACUUUGCUGCGGAGGUGUGGGUUCACUCCCUGGCCCAGCACAGGGGGUUAAGGAUUUGGCCUUGCUCCAUUUGUGGCAUCAGUCACCCUGUGGCUCAGAUUCAAUCCCUGGCCCAGGAAUUUCCAUGUGC